AGAACGAACGCUGGCGGCAUGCCUAAUACAUGCAAGUCGAACGAACUCUUCGGAGUUAGUGGCGCACGGGUGCGUAACGCGUGGGAAUCUGCCCCUUGGUUCGGAAUAACAGUUGGAAACGACUGCUAAUACCGGAUGAUGACGAAAGUCCAAAGAUUUAUCGCCAGGGGAUGAGCCCGCGUAGGAUUAGCUAGUUGGUGAGGUAAAGCUCACCAAGGCAACGAUCCUUAGCUGGUCUGAGAGGAUGAUCAGCCACACUGGGACUGAGACACGGCCCGGACU
rnacentral:rRNA from 1 species